UACGGGGGGGGCGAGCGUUGUUCGGAAUCACUGGGCGUAAAGAGCUCGUAGGCGGUUUGUCGCGUCUGCCGUGAAAGUCCGGGGCUCAACUCCGGAUCUGCGGUGGGUACGGGCAGACUAGAGUGAUGUAGGGGAGACUGGAAUUCCUGGUGUAGCGGUGAAAUGCGCAGAUAUCAGGAGGAACACCGAUGGCGAAGGCAGGUCUCUGGGCAUUAACUGACGCUGAGGAGCGAAAGCAUGGGGAGCGAACAGG
rnacentral:rRNA from 1 species